UACGUAGGGUGCAAGCGUUAAUCGGAAUUACUGGGCGUAAAGCGUGCGCAGGCGGUUUUGUAAGUCUGUCGUGAAAUCCCCGGGCUCAACCUGGGAAUUGCGAUGGAGACUGCAAGGCUAGAAUCUGGCAGAGGGGGGUAGAAUUCCACGUGUAGCAGUGAAAUGCGUAGAGAUGUGGAGGAACACCGGAUGGCGAAGGCAGCCCCCUGGGUCAAGAUUGACGCUCAUGCACGAAAGCGUGGGGAGCAAACAGG
rnacentral:rRNA from 1 species